AGAGUUUGAUCAUGGCUCAGAAUCAACGCUGGCGGCGCGCUUAACACAUGCAAGUCGAACGAGAAAGUGGAGCAAUCCAUGAGUACAGUGGCGUACGGGUGAGUAACACGUGGGUAAUCUGCCUUUUAGUGAGGAAUAACGAUGGGAAACCGUCGCUAAUACCGCAUAAGCCCGAGAGGGGAAAGUCGCAAGACGCUGAAAGAGGAGCCCGCGGCCGAUUAGCUAGUUGGUAGGGUAAGAGCCUACCAAGGCAGAGAUCGGUAGCCGGCCUGAGAGGGCACACGGCCACACUGGCACUGAAACACGGGCCAGACUCCUACGGGAGGCAGCAGUGGGGAAUCUUGCACAAUGGGGGCAACCCUGAUGCAGCGACGCCGCGUGAGCGAUGAAGCCCUUCGGGGUGUAAAGCUCUUUCGGCAGGGAAGAUUAUGACGGUACCUGCAGAAGCAGCUGCGGCUAACUACGUGCCAGCAGCCGCGGUAAUACGUAGGCAGCGAGCGUUGUUCGGAGUUACUGGGCGUAAAGGGUGUGUAGGCGGUUCUUUAAGUUUGGUGUGAAAUCUCCCGGCUCAACCGGGAGGGUGCGCCGAAUACUGAGGGACUAGAGUGUGGGGGAGGAAAGUGGAAUUCCUGGUGUAGCGGUGAAAUGCGUAGAUAUCAGGAGGAACACCGGUGGUGUAGACGGCUUUCUGGACCAUAACUGACGCUGAGACACGAAAGCGUGGGUAGCAAACAGGAUUAGAUACCCUAGUAGUCC
rnacentral:rRNA from 1 species